GAUGAACGCUGGCGGCGUGCUUAACACAUGCAAGUCGAACGAAGCAUUUAGAACAGAUUAUUUCGGUAUGAAGUUCUUUAUGACUGAGUGGCGGACGGGUGAGUAACGCGUGGGUAACCUGCCUUGUACUGGGGGAUAGCAGCUGGAAACGGCUGGUAAUACCGCAUAAGCGCACGGUGCUGCAUGGCACAGUGUGAAAAACUCCGGUGGUAUAAGAUGGACCCGCGUCUGAUUAGCUAGUUGGUGAGAUAACAGCCCACCAAGGCGACGAUCAGUAGCCGACCUGAGAGGGUGACCGGCCACAUUGGGACUGAGACACGGCCCAGACUCCUACGGGAGGCAGCAGUGGGGAAUAUUGCACAAUGGAGGAAACUCUGAUGCAGCGACGCCGCGUGAGUGAAGAGUAAUUCGUUAUGUAAAGCUCUAUCAGCAGGGAAGAUAGUGACGGUACCUGACUAAGAAGCUCCGGCUAAAU
rnacentral:rRNA from 1 species